rnacentral:rRNA from 1 species
ACUAAGCUCGGGGAUAAUAAUGACGGUACCCGAGUAAAAAGCCCUGACUAACUUCGUGCCAGCAGUCGCGGUAAAACGGAGAGGGCAAGUGUUAUUCGUAUUGACUGGGUGUAAAGGGUACGUAGGCGGUUAUUUAAGUUAUAAAAAAAGCUAUAUCUUUUUAUAAUACUAUAUGACUAGAGUUAAAAAGGGGAUGGCGGUACCUCCAGUUUAGAAGUGACAUUCGUUUGAGAUUGGGGGGACCAGCAAUAGGCGACGGCUGCUUUCCAUUUUUAUACUGACGCUGAGGUACGAAAGCAUGGGGAGCGAACAGGAUUAGAGACCCUGGUAGUCCAUGCCCUGACCUAUGAAUAUUAAUCGUCCAUUUAGAUAGUGGAUGACUAACCUAACGCGAAAAUAUUCCACCUGAGGACUACGGCCGCAAGGUUAAAACUCAAAGAAAUUGGCGGAAGAUCGUUUAAGCGGUGGAGUAUGUGGUUUAAUUCGAUAAUACGCGAAAAACCUUACC